UACAGAGGUCUCAAGCGUUGUUCGGAUUCAUUGGGCGUAAAGGGUGCGUAGGCGGCGCGGUAAGUCGAGUGUGAAAUCUCGGAGCUUAACUCCGAACUGCAUUCGAUACUGCCGUGCUUGAGGACUGGAGAGGAGACUGGAAUUUACGGUGUAGCGGUGAAAUGCGUAGAUAUCGAGAGGAACACCUGCGGCGAAGGCGGGUUGCUGGGCUGACACUGACGCUGACAGCGCGAAAGCUAGGGGAGCGAACGGG
rnacentral:rRNA from 1 species